rnacentral:rRNA from 1 species
UUCGCAAUGCCCGAAAGGGUGACAAUGCGACGCCGCGUGAGCGAUGAAGGCCUUCGGGUUGUAAAGCUCUUUCAGCAGGGAUGAAUACAGAGAGGUUAAUAACCUUUUUGUUUGACGGUACCUGCAGAAGAAGCCACGGCUAACUCCGUGCCAGCAGCCGCGGUAAUACGGAGGUGGCAAGCGUUGUUCGGAUUUACUGGGUGUAAAGGUCAUGUAGGCGUCUUACUAAGUCGGAUGUGAAAUCCCUUGGCUUAACCAAGGAACUGCACUCGAUACUGGUAAGAUUGAGUACGGGAGAGGUAAGCGGAAUUCCGGAAGUAAGGGUGAAAUCUGUAGAUAUCCGGAAGAACACCAUUAGCGAAGGCGGCUUACUGGUCCGAUACUGACGCUGAAAUGAGAAAGCUAGGGGAGCAAACAGGAUUAGAUACCCUGGUAGUCCUAGCUGUAAACGAUGGGCACUAAGUAGAGGGGUUUU